rnacentral:tRNA from 1 species
UGUUCUGUGGCUUAGUUGGUUAAAGCGCCGGUCUAGCGAAUACGGAGUCGUGGGUUCGAAUCGCUCCAGAACGC